rnacentral:rRNA from 1 species
AGAGUUUGAUGGUGGCUCAGAUUGAACGCUGGCGGCAGGCUUAACACAUGCAAGUCGAGCGGGGAAGGGUAGCUUGCUACCUAACCUAGCGGCGGACGGGUGAGUAAUGCUUAGGAAUCUGCCAUUUAGUGGGGGACAACAUUCCGAAAGGAAUGCUAAUACCGCAUACGUCCUACGGGAGAAAGCAGGGGAUCUUCGGACCUUGCGCUAAAUGAUGAGCCUAAGUCGGAUUAGCUAGUUGGUGGGGUAAAGGCCUACCAAGGCGACGAUCUGUAGCGGGUCUGAGAGGAUGAUCCGCCACACUGGGACUGAGACACGGCCCAGACUCCUACGGGAGGCAGCAGUGGGGAAUAUUGGACAAUGGGCGGAAGCCUGAUCCAGCCAUGCCGCGUGUGUGAAGAAGGCCUUUUGGUUGUAAAGCACUUUAAGCGAGGAGGAGGCUACUAGUACUAAUACUACUGGAUAGUGGACGU